rnacentral:lncRNA from 1 species
AUCACCACUCACAACCAGCCUGCAGGCUGCCUUGAAUCCAGCACUUGGUGCCUCAAUUUCCCUUGCUAGACGAUGAAGAUGACACUGGACUCCUUUCAGGAGUAUUUUGCUGGCUUUGGCUAAAACCAGGCUAGAUAAGCCUUUGUGAACGAGUGAGGAAUGGCACCUGCAGUUUUCUAUGACAGGCAAGAUGCACACCUGGAGCUUACCACUGCCACAGUAGAAAGUAAAAAAACUUUCUAAAAUUGUCCUGGGACAGAGUUUUGUCAACCAGCAGUCCAGAGAAGUGACAACUCACGAAACACAGCUGCAGGGAGACCUCUGCAAACUCGUCUCUGUCAGCUGGCAAGAUGGGGACCUCCCCCAGCAUACUUGUGCCUGGCACACCCCGUGUCCCAUUGUGACACAAGUGUGUAGGAACUACUGCACAAAGAAUUGUCAUUAAGUAAAAACUGUGUGAUGAGGCUGAAGCCAAUCUGGUUGGUUCUGAACCGCGAUCUGCACAGAAAUAGAUGGUGACACACAGAAAUUGAGAUGAAGGAAGGAGGUCCUGGCGGCAGACAAAGUUCUUCCUGUAAAACAACUUCAGAAGGACUGUAGGAGCCUAUCCACCUUCAACAGCUGCCUCCAACUGAGUCAGAAGCACACCUGUGUAUUUCAUACCUUUUGUGACCAAAGGACUCAGAGGCAUAAAGUAUGCCACCGGAGGAAUAAUUGGAUUUCUUCAAAGCCACCAGAUAAAGCAGACCCCUCUCACAAGCUGCGCUCCUUGUCCAGCAGUAUUGAUGUGCUGCAAAGAAAACUCCGUCAUGUGCCACAGCCUCACCAAAGCAUGAAAACAGGCUUGCAGCCUGCUCUUAGAUAAGCCCCAAACAAAUCAGAAACAACAAGCGAAAACUUGAUUCAAGGUUUACUCCAGGAUGGACGUCUUGCUACGAUAAAUUAAGGUGUUUUUCAUUAUUAAAAAUAAACAAAGCAAUGAAAGUGAACCAUGUCACCAUUCAUACACUUAAAAAACAUCUUUAAUCUGCUUGGGAAAAUCUUUUUUUCUCCGUAACAGGAAAAAAUAUUAGUUGUCCAGAUAACAAGCAAAACAAAAUCAACUAAAGGGCAUCAAGAGACUUCCUGAAAUUGAAAAAACAAUGUUUUGUAUAACAAGUUAAAAAAAAAAAAGCACACAACAUACACAGCAGGCAGAAUGAUUCCUCCAGUUUCUUCAGGUUGUUCUUAGUUUCAGGAACACAAGGA